rfam:Fukomys damarensis contig70109, whole genome shotgun sequence.
GGGGAUAUAGCUCAGUGGCACAGUGCUUGCCUGGUAAGCAUGAGAUCCUGAGUUGGAUCCCCAGUACCA